rnacentral:rRNA from 1 species
CCUACGGGAGGCAGCAGUGAGGAAUAUUGGUCAAUGGGCGCGAGCCUGAACCAGCCAAGUAGCGUGAAGGAUGACUGCCCUACGGGUUGUAAACUUCUUUUAUAAAGGAAUAAAGUGAGGCACGUGUGCCUUUUUGUAUGUACUUUAUGAAUAAGGAUCGGCUAACUCCGUGCCAGCAGCCGCGGUAAUACGGAGGAUCCGAACGUUAGCCGAAUUUAUUGGGUUUAAAGGGAGCGUAGAUGGGUUGUUAAGUCAGUUGUGAAAGGUUGCGGCUCAACCGUAAAAUUGCAAUUGAUACUGGCAGUCUUGAGUACAGUUGAGGUAGGCGGAAUUCGUGGUGUAGCGGUGAAAUGCUUAGAUAUCACGAAGAACCCCGAGUGCGAAGGCAGCUUACUAAACUGUGACUGACAUUGAUGCUCGAAAGUGUGGGUAUCAAACAGGAUUAGAUACCCUGGUAGUC